ACAUUGAACCUUCGGGGGAUUUGUUGGGCGGCGAGCGGCGGACGGGUGAGUAAUGCCUGGGAAAUUGCCCUGAUGUGGGGGAUAACCAUUGGAAACGAUGGCUAAUACCGCAUGAUAGCUUCGGCUCAAAGAGGGGGACCUUCGGGCCUCUCGCGUCAGGAUAUGCCCAGGUGGGAUUAGCUAGUUGGUGAGGUAAGGGCUCACCAAGGCGACGAUCCCUAGCUGGUCUGAGAGGAUGAUCAGCCACACUGGAACUGAGACACGGUCCAGACUCCUACGGGAGGCAGCAGUGGGGAAUAUUGCACAAUGGGCGCAAGCCUGAUGCAGCCAUGCCGCGUGUAUGAAGAAGGCCUUCGGGUUGUAAAGUACUUUCAGCAGUGAGGAAGGAGGUAUCGUUAAUAGCGGUAUCUUUUGACGUUAGCUGCAGAAGAAGCACCGGCUAACUCCGUGCCAGCAG
rnacentral:rRNA from 1 species